AAGAGGGCAGCAACAUCAUAUACACAGCACCUUCUCAUUGAAUUGGAUGUAUAACUACCUUUCCAGUGGCCCGAUUGGUUUCAAGGUAAGAGAAGGCCUCAACAAGCUUAGAGAAAGGGAAGGGCCCUUUGGGAUCUAUCACUGCCUUCACCUUCCCACUCUCUAAAUAUGGAUUUAGUUUCUUCAAAACAGCUCCAUUAGAAGUCACUACAAAUCUGAAGCCUGGAGGUGUUACCGCGCCUGUUAGGGCCACUAC
rnacentral:lncRNA from 1 species